rnacentral:rRNA from 1 species
UGCGACGACGAAUGCCUUGGCUCGAGGAUCGUUGAAGGACGCAGCGAACUGUGCUAAACAUCUCGAAUUGCAGAUUUCCGAGAAAGAAAAGGAUUCUGAACGCAUUCUGCGAGUUGACCUCGUGUCAGCUCACGUGAUUGGCGGUGACCGA